UGGCAUACACCGUGUGAAUAGGACAUCCUUGGGGCCAGAUGAGAGGGCUUCUCAGCCUUGGGGCCAGGAGCAGGCAACCAUUGAGGACUCACUCCCCCUGCGCCAGGGAGCCUGAUUUCUGAGUUCAUGCUGGGCAGGUUCCCUGGGAAUGCGAAGAAUAAAAGUGGGCCUAUUUGGAACGCCAUAGGAACUCCAAGCCACAACUCCACACAGCCAGAUCACCUCCAAGGCCUACGCCCUGAUAAUGGAGCAAAGCAGACAAGGAGUGGGGAAGGAUCCGAAUGCAAAUGGCCUUGCCGGCAGUGGCUCCCUUGGGAAGACGCCGUCUCCAGCUUCCUGGAGCCACAGACAGUUCCAGAGAGAGUGGCAGCCUCCCUUCCACCACCAGGCUGAGGCCCAGCUCCACUCCCCCCCACCAGGCUGCUGUUCCAGCCUCCGUCAGCCCCUCCCAACCUGCUUGUCUGGAGUCUGAGCCACGUUUUUUAUUUCCCUUUGGGUGCAUUUCUGGUAUUGCUUAGUUGCUUUCCUGAGAAGUCGGUUUGAAGAACAUCUCUAUUCUUUAAAGCAAGGCAUACCCAUGUCCUCUUGAGCUAAAAUUGUAUUUUAUUGAGGAUUCCCUUAUAUUGUGAUUAUUUAAUGGACAAUGUGUCCUGCUGGGAACAGCAGCAAAUAUAACAUUGGCAGAGGAAAAAGAUGCACUUUCUGAGACACAUUUGGCAAAGUAAACCCAGCUUCUUACAAGAAAAGAAUGUAAUGAAUUUUCCUCUAUUUUUAGUCACACAUAAAU